rnacentral:lncRNA from 1 species
UCUAAGUCUACCGUAUCGACAUUAUAUACAGAUAUGAGAAAAGAAAGUCCUUGGAGACGGAGAGGCUGAAUAUUAAAGGUCAAGAAAUCCACCAGGGCAAUGGGCCAUUACCAUAUGAUGAAAUGGCUUCCAGGGCACAACACAUCUGCUGA